rnacentral:lncRNA from 1 species
UCAACUUAGAGCCUUCUCUUUCUCCGUCUCACCCGCUUUCGACGGCGGCGUACCUUCACCGGACAACGCUGCUUGCGGUUGCGCCGCCCCAUUUUGAUUGUUGCUCAUUUUCUUCAUACUUUGUUGGUGGUAAACUUGCCUCAAUCUCUCUAUUUCCUUCUUUAAUGCCUCUUGAUGAGCUACAUUUAUUACAAAACAAAUAAAAACACAUUACCAACCAAACUACUCCUUACAAAAAUAUAGCACUACCUUCCUAUUCAUAGCUUCUCAUAAAACAAUAAUCAUAUUACAUAAUAUUUUUUAAAAUAAUAAUUAAAUGUAUAACCACGUUAAAAAAAUAAUAUUAAUAUAAUAAAAUUUAUCACCAAUAUUACUAAUAAAUCUUUAUUCUCAUUAUGACGUUGAAAAAUAAACUUUUUUUCUAAUACUCUCAAUAUUAUUUUGAGCAUGUUGGAUAUAUUUGACAUAUAAAUUAAAUAAAUCGGUUAAAUUGUACGCUUGGUCUCUGUAUAUGAUUUAAUAAAAUUAUCAUAUAUAAUCUAUAUAGAGAUUAAAUUUUAAUUACGAUGAUAAAAAAAAUUAAACUAUAAUUAAUGUUAUUCUUUGAUCUAUAGGAGCCGACUUACAAUUUAUUCAAAAUUAUAUAUCAUCUAAUUAAUGAUGUGUUCAAACAAGUGUAAGAACUAAAGAGUACAUAGUAGGAAGUGGAUAGUAGUGAAAAAAUUGUGGUGAAUCAUAAAUUGAGAGAGAGAAAUGGGUAUGAGAAUGAGGAAUGUACCAUCUUUGAAAAUCUUAUCUUGAGCCAAAGCUGCAAUUCUUUGCUUGAGGGCACUGUUAUCAACAUUUAGAAUCAAUCUUUGGUGGUCUAAAAAUGCAACUCUUGGGGACAAUGCUGAUACUUCAGUCUAUCACAACAAAACCAAAUAUUAAUUCAACACUAAUUAUUUCAUUUACUUAAUCCAAUUCAAUUCAAUUCAUACCUGUAAUGUAGUUACAUUUCUUUCCAGCUCAGAAAUGUAUUGCAAUUUUCUCACUCUCGAUCUUUGUGCUGAUUGUCGAUUUGCCAGUAUUCUAAGGGGAAAAAACCACACCAAUCAUUAUUAUGAUUCUUUAACUAUAAUUUCAUUAUCAUUAUCUUACUGAUUAUCGUGAUUAUAAUUAAGUAUAAUUGAAUGUGUCAAAUAAAUUUCAUACCUUUUAACUCGUUUAGGAUCAAUGGAGUUAUCAACGGCAGAGGAAGGCGGGGGAGGAGGUUGAGAUUGCUGCAGAACUUGAGAAGAGGAGCUAAUUUCACCGUCAGCAGGUUCAUUCUUCAUGGGCGGGGGCAGG